rnacentral:misc_RNA from 1 species
ACGCAAAUUGCGCUCGAGGCUUCGGCCAAGAGCAUGUCUGCCUCAGCGUCGGGUUAAUAUCGCUCAUUACUCACCAUGGCGAGUAACCAAGCGGAACUGGCUGUCUCGGUAAGUUUAAUUUUUUACCGGGUCAGCUGUAGUGCAGAUGUUAAACCAUGGACCCGCUAUGGGCCUCUACUGAGUAGGCAACCUGUUGCUAAAUGCUUUAGUAGAUGGCUUAGGGACUGUGUUUGACACAAAGCAGGAAUAUUCUUAAUUGAGUAUACCCCCUUUAUUUUCUCGACCUGUGCUCAGGCAAGAGUACCCGCUGAACUUAA